rnacentral:misc_RNA from 1 species
AACGCAUAUGGCACCUGCUAGCUUUUGCUAGAAGGUAUGCCUGUUUGAGAAUCAUUUUCAUCUUUUACCCCACAUGGACCUUCAACACUGAUCGUCUUGAAUUCUGCACGAUCGCGUCGUGAUACGUAAUGUCAUCCGUGGCGUUGAUCUCACCGACCGGUCCACAACCAUCCAAUGAUCUCAAAUCAGGCAAGACUACCCGCUGAACUUAA